rnacentral:rRNA from 1 species
AAGUGCUUGGUCGAGAUUGUAAGAUACAUUUAACAAUGACCUCAAAUCAGGCAAGAAUACCCGCUGAACUUAAGCAUAUCAAUAAGCGGAGGAAAAGAAACUAACAAGGAUUCCCCUAGUAACGGCGAGUGAAGAGGGAAGAGCUCAAAUUUUAAAUCUGCCUUGUUUCAAGGUCGAGUUGUAAUUUGAAGAAGCGUUUUCUUGGGCUCGCGGCCGGUAGAAGUUCUUUGGAACAGGACAUCAUAGAGGGUGACAAUCCCGUCUGCGACCGGUCGUGUGUUCAUCUACGAUACGCUUUCAAAGAGUCGAGUUGUUUGGGAUUGCAGCUCCAAAUGGGUGGUAAACAUCACCUAAGGCUAAAUAUUGGCGAGAGACCGAUAGCGAACAAGUACCGUGAGGGAAAGAUGAAAAGAACUUUGAAAAGAGAGUUAAACAGUACGUGAAAUUGUUGAAAGGGAAACGAUUGAAGUCAGUCGUGCUGGCGCGAAAUCAACCCUCUCGUCGAGAGGACACAUGGCGUGGCGAGCCUCAAAACCGUCACGAAGCGUGAACUCUUGGCGAAAAGGAGCACUUUCGUGUCCGCUGGUUAACAUCAAUUUCGAACGUCAUAAAAAGGCUGGAGGGAUGUGGCUCCUUCGGGAGUGUUAUAACCUUUAGCGGAAUGUGGUGGUCGGGAUUGAGGAUUGCAACGAAUACCUUUAGGGCUGUUCCACCUGGCCUCUCUUUGGUAUCCUGGUGACGACAGCUUGCCGACGUUGUUAGGAUUCGCCAUUGAACAGGCUAGAGUGUGAGCAAAUUCGUUAAGGAUGUUAACGUAAUGGCUUUAAACGACC